rnacentral:rRNA from 1 species
AGCGAACGCUGGCGGCAGGCCUAACACAUGCAAGUCGAACGAACUCUUCGGAGUUAGUGGCGGACGGGUGAGUAACACGUGGGAACGUGCCUUUAGGUUCGGAACAACUCAGGGAAACUUGUGCUAAUACCGAAUGUGCCCUUCGGGGGAAAGAUUUAUCGCCUUUAGAGCGGCCCGCGUCUGAUUAGCUAGUUGGUGAGGUAAAGGCUCACCAAGGCGACGAUCAGUAGCUGGUCUGAGAGGAUGAUCAGCCACAUUGGGACUGAGACACGGCCCAAACUCCUACGGGAGGCAGCAGUGGGGAAUCUUGCGCAAUGGGCGAAAGCCUGACGCAGCCAUGCCGCGUGAAUGAUGAGGGUCUUAGGAUUGUAAAAUUCUUUCACCGGGGACGAUAAUGACGGUACCCGGAGAAGAAGCCCCGGCUAACUUCGUGCCAGCAGCCGCCGUAA